CUACUUACAUGGUGGAGUUGUAUGCCAGGUUAAGGAGGGCCUGGUAACACUUGUCCUGUCACUCAAACUAGACUGACUUUAGAGAGGUUGGGGUAAAAUAGGAAAGACUUACUAAAAAUAGUAUACCUACCCAACUGCUUUGGAUGCCUGGAAAACUGGCACAAAGUUGUUCUGACAGUGGAGCUCUCUAGCCAUGCCUCACUUUCUGCAGGUCACACCAGAAGCCGUCCAUCAGGACAUGGUGGACAUCUGACCUAAUCACUUCCAGUUACCCGAAGACCUUCUCUUGGCCGUUUGAGUGAAAAGCACUUCACUCAUAUUUGAUUAAGAAAAUACAAACACUUAUGUUUCAAUGUUAUUUUUAUUAAAUACUUUCAGAUGUUUCAAUAAUAACAAAGCUAUUAUGAAGAUCUACCAACAUUCAAACAAACACUUGAUAUUUUUAAACUAAUGGUUUUAUGUUUUAUUAACUGUAUGGUCAUGCAAAAAUCCAGCAUUCAAUAAAAACUCAGAGUAUAGUUAUAUGUAGCCCCAUCAUAUGGUAACAAUGCAAUAAAAUGACUAGAAUCUGGGGAACAUACCAAGCUAAGGCUUUGUUUAUCUUUUUUUAUCCUUUUUUAUCGUGAUACACACCAUUUCAUUUUAGCAUUUGAAACAGAGCCAUAUUUUAAUUACCUUGAGAAUGCAGGUAACACGUAAAUAUAGAUAGAUAGAUAUCCAUUUUAAGUAAACACAGACAGUGAAAAAUAUUACCAGAGCAGACAUGCAUAUUUUUUCCUCCUUCUGUCCAACUGCAUAUAUGGUAUGGUGUGGUUCGUAAAGUGAAUGGCCUUUCAAAGUUUCAGUUAGUAUAUCAAAUCAUCCCUCAUCUCGCAAGCUAACUGCCCACUGUCUAACAGGUACGUUUUUCAGAGCUCUGUCUGGAAUGCUCCUCUCCACGCCCACCGUCUUUGUGACAAGUGCUUUCCUCUCGUCAGUACUAUGAAGUUAAACCAUGCUGUGCUCUUUCACGUGACCAGUUCCCAUGGCUGUGUGGACCCACGAUGCCAGACCUCAGGACAGGGCAACUGAGACAGAACAGACACUACUCAAGACAACCGCCCCGCCCCCCCCAACAAAAAACUCAAGAGACAAACAAAAGUCACACUGGAACUGUACACACACUACACUGGAGUGCAAAUCAACGAAACCAAGCAUGAUGGUGGUCCCACUGCCUCGCUGGGAGCUCCGUGACUGGCUGGAGAGCCGUUUGCCAGGCCUGACUGAGACCAGUGAACCCUGGAUAUAUAUUAUAUACUUUCUGUCUUUGAAUAAUUUGUCAACACCUCUUGUCUAUUGGCUGUCUAACUCUGCUAAGUACUAUGGAUCAAGAACUAUGGUCUAGGACAAAGUGAAGGGCCUACAUAUGGGGCUUAGGCCCUCCGGAGUCACUGACAAUCACACGCUACUACGUUACCACGGUGACAAGCAGUGUUCUGAUCUCACACAGACACACACAAAGAUUUGCCUUAUAGGGAGCACAUUAUGUCAGAGCGUCAACAUGGCGACAUAUCCUCCACGUUAUGAUCUGCAACGUGAACUUGCGAUUUCAAGAUGCGGCGUGGUAGAAGGUCACGUGCAUGUGCGCACGCGGGUGUGUGUUUAACGAUUCAAAUGGAGGGAUGGUGUGCAUGUCUGGCACAGCCUAAGCUCUGCACCUCAACUACAAAUGGGCACUGCACUGCAUAAAUACUUACAGUUCAAAAAAUAUAUAUAUAUAUAAUCCAGAAAAAAACACCAACACUAAGAACACUAACGUCGGAACAUUACAACACAAACUGCCACAAAAGGAACCAGUAAACCAACUACCUUUUAGCACAACUAAGACUCCCAGCUCUGUCUCUCUCUCUCUCUCUCUCAUCCAGGCCCCGGUCAGAUGAUUCCCAGCUAGCCAAUCCCACACUUCCUUCCCUCCGGUCAGACAUCCUCAGGCAAUACUCACAGUGAGCCCCGGAGAAAGUAUAGGGAGCGAGAGGUCCAACAGUACAACACGAACAGGACUUAGACUUCAGACACCAGACAGGCAAGUGUGCAGACAUGUACACGCACGCACACACGCACACGCAAACACAGAAAUACCGUGGCAGUGUGCAACAACUAUGGGCUGGUGUCAGGGUCUGUUAGAGGAAUGGACCAUCAGAGAAGGAUUUCCCAUAACCCGAAGUUGCAGACAGGUCCACACUGUGUGGACGAAACAGCAUAGCGUCUCCGGCUUCUGUGCAAAACAGUACAGGCCAUUUCUACUAAGUUCCAACAUGCUAGUGUAGAAAAAAUGAUAUGCCACAUUUGGCUGAAGCCUAGGGAAGGUGAUUCGGGUAUCAGAGAGAGCGAGAGGGUGGGAGAGAGAGGGCUAAGAGCCAAGCUAAUAGUGAAGAGUGUUUAGCUCCCCCUAGUGCCCAGACAGACGUUAAACUCAGAACACACCGACAAAGUGAAAUUAAAGUUCUGCAACUUCAGGCUCAAUAGGCCGCAAACCGACAAGCAGGUGUGUAAACUGACCCUGGACUAUGCUGAUGUGUAUGCUGGUGUGUGUGUGUGUGUGUGUGUAUGUGUAUGUGUGCGCGUGCGCGUGCAUGCGUGUAUGUGUAAAACGGCUUCUUAAAGCACGGCAGAGCAAUGAGCCAAGGGAGACUAAAUAAUGCACUCCCCACAUACAAACACAUACACACUCACCCACUCAGUCACACACACUCACACUCACACACAAAACAUUGCUCUCAAUAUCUCCUUGCCCUAUACACUAACACUAAAUCUUUGUUCCCCUUCUCUUUAUAAAUACCUAUGUAUACAUAGCUAUAGUAAAUCGUGCCCUACUUUUAAAAAUCCACUUUUUUUGAAAACACAAAAUACUUUUGAACAGCGUCAUUCAGGAGAUAAAAAUAAAGAGUUCCACAACAAGCACAACAAAAUGAUAAAACCUUCCCCAAUUCUCUCUCUCCUCAAACAAAAUAGAAAUAUUGUUAAAACAACUCAAUGUCUAAAUUCUACACUUUGGUGGUUUUACUUCUAAGUAA